UACGAAGGGGGCGAGCGUUGUUCGGAAUUACUGGGCGUAAAGGGAGUGUAGGCGGUUGAGUAAGAUAGUGGUGAAAUCCCAGAGCUUAACUUUGGAAUUUCCAUUAUAACUAUUUAACUUGAAUGAUAGAGAGGAUAUCGGAAUACCCAGUGUAGAGGUGAAAUUCGUAGAUAUCGGGUAGAACACCGGUGGCGAAGGCGGGUAUCUGGCUAUUAAUUGACGCUGAGGCUCGAAAGCAUGGGGAUCAAAC
rnacentral:rRNA from 1 species